ACACAAUAGUGAUUCCCAUAAUUCUUUCUCUCUCUUCAUUCAAUUUUCUCUCUCCUCCUGCAAAUCCUCUCUACUAUCGGGCUUCAUCUUCUUCAACUUCGUACGUUGUUUCUCGUUGUUCUUGCAAAUAUCUUCACCUUUUUUUACGACUCUCUUCCAAUUAUUUUGCCAGGGACAAAAAUUAGAUGUUAUCAGCUAUACCCAGAACCGGAGUCAGUUUAUUGUGCCUUAUGUUUGAGAAAAACUAGUUGCAAAAUUUUCCAUACAUGUAUAAAGAGUCUCCCUUUUAACUGGACAUGUGCAAGUGACAACGAAAGAUGUAGGAACUCUUGGAGAACUGAAAAUCACUGAUAAUUCAAGCUUGAUAAGAAGCAGACAGUUCAGAUUAGGUCUAAAGGUUGUCUCAGGUUAUGGUGAAGGUGUUCGUAUUCAUGAAGCAAAAACAGAAGCUUUCACCGUCAAGGAUCACGGAGGGGAAUGCUAGAGUGAGCAUCUUUGGUAAAAGCAGGCGAGUAGUGAGCAUUUCCAUAUCUUUGAGCCUUCUGACACUAAGGACACACAGAAGAAAAGGAUCAUUCUGGUUAUAUAUUCUUCAGGUUGGAUAAUAGGCUUCACUGACCCUUUUUUGCCGUCUCCACAAAUUUUUGAGUUUUUGUUUUACUUUUAUUCAUUCUAUUUAAAACACUAGCCUACUAGCUCAAUUGGUAUAGCAUUGUGCAAAAGCACAAAAGAUGUGGGUUCGAAUUGUUAGGUUAUGAUACAUAUGAAAAACAUAAAUCAUGCGGAAAAAACCUUAAUGCCAGGAAACAUAUUAUUUACACAUAAUCAGUUAGCAUAAUUUAGAUGCAUACACUUUGUAGCGUGCCCUCCCUUGCUGCGCCUGAACCGAACAAGAACAAGUCUUUAGGACUCCAAGUGUCGUCCCUCCGUAGAUAGUCCACAACACGUCCGGAUCCGCCUUAAGAUUGACCAACUAGAAUCGCCCUUAAGGUACUAUUAUUUUCGGCUAAAUGGGCAAGUAAUGUGACUGAUUUUUCUGCUCAAAAAUCACAGCUUUUAUUGUAUGAAUACUUGUUAAAAACUCUUGUAUAAAUUUAUGACCCUAGGCAUAUAUUUAUAGAAUCAUGGAAAAGGAUUUCGAAUCCUGUUAGAAUACUAAUUAAUUAAUUGGAAUCCUUUUAGAACUCUAAAUAAUUAAUUUCUAUCUUCUAGGAUUAGGAUUUAAUCAUAGCACGAAAUCCGAUAGCUUUAGGAUUCGUAUAGCAUGCACACGAGCACGAACACCGCACAGCCCGCGCGCAUGCCUCGCGGCCCACGCGAACUGCACGUCGCCUUGGCCCAAUGCUCGCAGCCCACCUGAUCCGUGCGCGCGCCACGCCUAGCUGGACCUGGCCUUGCGCUGGGCCUGGUGAGGCUUUGGCGUGUGGUUUUGAUGCGUAUGGCUUGCUAGGCGACGGCCUGGCUUCGUGUUGGGCCUUCGUCUAGCAAGUCUCGUCUGAUGUUAAUUCGUACGAUACGCUUCCGAUUAAAUUCCCGAUUCCGGAAUUCAUUUCCGAUACGAACAAUAUUUAACAUUUCCGAUUCCGGAAUUAAUUUCCGUUUCGAACAAAUAUUUAAUAUUUCCUUUUCCGGAAUUAUUUUCCGAUUCCGAUAAUAUUUCCGAUUCUGACAAUAUUUGUAAUACCUCGUAUUUUUCUGUAUUUUAUAAAUAUAUUUUAUUAUAUUUAUAAAGUAUUUUUAUGAUUUUUAGAAUUUAAAACGCAUUUAAAUGUUAUUUAAAUGUAUUUUAUUUGAUUAGAAUAUUUAUUAGUUAAUUUAAUUAUUACCAAAAGAAUUUAUUAUUUAAUGUUGUGAAUUUAAUUGGGUUUCAAAAGUAAAACGAUUUUAAAUGAAUCAAGCCCAAUUCAAUUCCAAGUUCAAGUCCAAACAAAUUAAACAAGCUCAUCCUAUGUUUAAUGAAGCCCGAAAGGGAAUCCUAAAGCCUAGCCCAUCUUUGGGUUUCCUAAGCCUAUAAAUAUAGGUGCUCACCCUCAAAAUCGCUCCCUAUUAUUCAUUAAACCUAAAAAUAAAACCCUAACCCUACAUUCUUCUUUCUUUCGUCGAACUUAUGUUUGGCCGUUUUUCUCCUACUUCCGUUCGUUUUCAGAAAAAGAUUUCUUCUUCAAAGUUGUAGAUAUCAAAAAGUUCUUGAACUUUUCCUCAAGAAUCGAUCAAUUUCGAGUUAUAAAUCAGAAGUUAUGAGCAUUCUAAAUUCCUGCUGCAGUACUUCACUUUUCUCUCCUCUCUCUUUUGCUCUCGUCCGUGCACAGCCCAGCCCCGAGCCUUGCUCGUCGCUGCUGCCUUCACCCUCACCCGUGCCCAGCCGAGCACUUCUUGCGUGUGCCUUGCCCCUCGUUGCACAACACUCGUGGCCCUCGCCCGUGUUGUUGUCUAGCUUCGUCGUUGCAUCCCCGCACAACACUCGUGCCUUUGCCGAGUGUUGUUGCUGCUGCUGUUGUUUGUUGCCCUCGACGCCAUUCCACCUCGCACACUCGGUGCUCUCUCAUGCUCGACGCCCAGCCGCGAGCCUUGCCCGUGCCUUCGUUGCUGUCCCGUCGCACCACAUGCGCACACACAAGUCGUGUGUGUUGUCGUGUGUUAUAUUCCGUAUUCCUUUGAUCUUUUUGCGCCCAAUCACAUUCAAAUCGUGAUUGUACCGUGCUAUAGGCCGGUUCGGUAUAAUUCUCUUCUUCCUUGCCUAUUCUAUUUCAAUUCUGUAUUUAAAUUAUAUUAUU